GCGGGUAUGGCGGAAUUGGCAGACGCGUUAGAUUCAGGUUCUAAUGGCUUUUUAGCUAUGCAGGUUCAAGUCCUGUUACCCGCACCA
rnacentral:tRNA from 1 species